GCUGGAAUGGAUCGAGUCGCUUCUAUCGGGUCGCGGACGUCCUUUGUUGCUUGAUCGGGAACGUUGGUACGCAAGCUGGUACUUGCAGUCAAAGAACUCGUAGAUCUGGAACAGUUUGAACACGGACUGGAACAGGCUGAUCGUACAAUCUGGAAUAGUUGAGGCGUACUAAAACUUGCAGAGAUCAGUCCACAGAUCGAUCUUGUUGAGAUCAGUGGUCGAAUACAGAUCAGGGUCAUGAUCAAAGAGAGGUGAUCGAUAGAGAUUAGGGUUUUAGCAAUGGAGAGAGAUUUAGGGUUUAUGGUCGAUAUUUUAGCUUAGGGUUUUAAAGAUCAAUCGUUCUGAUAACGUGUUAUAAAAGUAAUGGAAUAGUCUAUUUUUAUUCAUAACAUAGAAGUUCCUUAUAUAUGAUAUUACACCGUCAUAGAUAAAUAUAAAGAUUACAAAUCAUAAUCUCUCGGUUAUGAGCCAUCCAAAAUCUGGUUCAUAACACCUACCUACAUUAAUUUGUAGUGAUUUUCCAUUCCAAUUAUGAAUGGAUUUGCUAACAUAUAGGUUAAAAUUCCAAAUAUUUUUCUUAAUCUGAUUUCCCCUCUCAUUAUACUUAAACUGGUUUCUCCUCACAUUUCGUGUAUGACCAAAAUCUUCCAAUAAGACAAAAAAAAAAUGCACAAGUGUGUAUGGAACCAUGGAUAGUUGAAUAUACAAGUAGUUAUAUCAUUUCUUCUUUAUUGGGACAUACAAUAUCUAAACCCGUAAAUAUAUGAGCUCGGCCCAGUUCGACCCAAAAAUAUUUUGGGCAUAGAAUUCAAAUUUCGGCCCGGCCAAUAUAGGGUUAUAGGAUUUUUGGGCUUUUCAAAAAAUAAUUUUUCUUUGUUGUUUUAAUACAUGUGAAUUUUCAUAAAAAACCAGUCUCAACUUUUUGUUUUAGAAUAUAAAGUGAGUUUAAAUUUUUCUUCUUUAUCAAAAAUAUUUUACUUUUUAGUAUGUUUUAUACGUUUUACUUUUUUUGUAUGCUUCAAAACAUAUUAUAAACUAACCAAAAUUAAUAAGAUUUAAAUAAUCAAAUAUAAAUUAAAAUUAAAUAUAGAAGAGAACAAAAUUUAUGAUAAACAUGAUCAAACGUUUCAGACUUUGUAUGUUGAAAAAACAAACAUGUUAUAGAAUAAUAAGGUACAUUUGCAAAAUUUAAAAUGUGACAUUUGUAAUGAUUAAACAAUAGGGUGCAUUAGCAACUUUCAUAUUUGUUUUAUUAGAGUUUGGAUCAAAAAUAUUUAAAUAAUAUGGCAAUACUAAUAAUGGUUUGGAUUGCAAAAAUGAUAAUAUUUAAACUAAAAUAUAAAGUGUUGGGUUUUUGGACCGGCCUAGCCCAAAUAGGCUUAGGGCCAAAAUAUCCAAAGCCCAAAUUUUUUUUGCUUUUAAAAUUAAGCUCAACCCCGGUAAUUUUUAGGCUCAGACGAGUUUGGACUGCAGGCUUUGGCCCUAAUUGACAUGUUUAACAAUAUCACUUAACACUAAACGUGACGCACCAAAUGAUUUACAAAAACGAGAUUUUUUUUUUUUUUUUUUUUUUUUUUUUGUCACUGGGCGCUCUCUGGAAUCCCGGAGGAGUCGAAUCCGUGUGCCUUGGGAUCCAGUUCACUCUAGUGUUUUACCACAAAAACGAGAUUUGAUCACAAUUUAUGAAUACAAAGCUUUCGUGACCAUCUUAUUCAUGAAAGGUUAAUAUCGAUACUAUAUAUACGCGGAUUUAUGUUAUAUUACGUAUAAAAAAUCAAGAAAUAUACUAAUUUGGAUUGUAACUUAAACUUAAUAAGCAACCCGCCUUAAAACGUGGUUAUGUUUUAUUUUUAAUAAAACCAAUAAAUAAAAUGUUACAAAUUAUAGGAAAAUAUCUUAUUAAAAUAUUGGGAAAAAUAUCUGAAUUCGAAGAACUAAACCGAACCAGAUCUAAAAAGGUUAAAAUGUUUGCAUUCAAGGUUCCACUCAUAAUCAUUUGAAAAGGUGUUAAAGAUAAAAAAAAAAAAUUUAUCAACUUUGAGUGAUGAAUGGGUGACCGGAGUAUUGCUUGUGCCUUAUGAUGCCAAACUGUACUUAUGGCUUGUUUCUCUGUACUUGUUGGUGUUAGUAAAAUAAUUCUUUAUUCCUAGCUUGUAAUGUUUCUUUACCCGAGGCAUAAAGAGUGUCUUAGAAGUACAAUAUAUGUAAACACUUUACUGUUAAAAAUUUGGUUGGUAAUUCAUUUCAGAUGAAAUACAAACAAUAUAAAAAUUAAGAUGUAGAAACAGUUUUGUUGACUUUAUAGUUAUCAUUUUAAUGAAUAAACAUUAGUUUAAAAAACUCACUCACGCAUGCGCGCAGGUUAUUAUCUAGUCAUUAGUUAUUCGAUAUUAAAUUAAACAUUUAAACUAUAAUGCAAUUUAAUGAAUUCAAUUUAAUGAUAAUAGUUUUUACCUAGGGAAACUUCACAAAUCUAAUAUAAAUCAUUGUUAAACUUAAACAAAUUAAUAGAGUUAACGGUCAAUUUUAUACAUUUAACUCCAUUAUAUAUUCAUUCCAUUUCUCUAACCUUGCCUCCCAUGUAAAUUUAGUAAAUCAUGUAUAUAUCUUCACAAUAGCUUCCUUACAAAUCGAGAAUCAAUUAAUUCCAUAUUUAAGGUUUAAACCAUUUUGACCAAACACAAUCCAUUGUACAUUCUCAAGCAACUUAUUCCUAAUAUCUUCCGGAAUAUUCAAAUAUCAGUUUUCAUAUUCUGGGGUUUGGUUUUAACAAUAACAAGCGGUUGAAUAGAGUAUAUAUAUUUAUUUGAUAUGAUUUAGUUAAAAAUGAAAUAUUAAGAUAUACUAUCCUACUUCUAAUCUCGCCAUGUCUAGCCUCUUAACCUAGAUUCUAAAACCCAUCUAUAUAUACUACUCCGAGUCUUACUCUCUACCCAUCCACAAUUCACAUAAAACAUGUCUAACCCUACAAAUAUGUCUCUCCUUAAGGAUUUCAAACCUUACAAGACCAGCUGGCGAGUUCUUCUCCAUUCGUGGAAGCAGAACACCAGUUAUGCAGGAGAACCCUUGAGUGUAUUCUUGCAGACGAAACUGUACGAUAAAAUUCAAGUCAUAUAUCAUUAGACCAAAAAUAUCAUCUUAUAACAUUUUUUUGUCAAAUAAAUAUUUGUAAUCGUGUUUCAUAAUCUGUCUGGUCUAUAUCACAGCUUUAGAAGUUGAAUUUUAUUAACCAUCAAAUCUUUUUUGGUCGUAGGGUGUAAAAAUUCAUGCGAGUUGCAAAAGAACUCUAAUCUUUAAUGUUCAACGUAGUCUACCGGUCGGAGAAUGGAGGAUUUUAUAGGUAAAUUUUCUAUAUCAUAGGCUUCUGGUCAAUUUAGACCAACAAACCUCCAAUACAAAAAAUGACUAUCAAGGAGACACAAUGAUAACGAGUUCUGAUUUCGGAAUGAUAGUCACUUCCUUUCUCAAGCCAGUUAUGAGGCUAUUGGUAAUGGGAAUCUCAACACCUACUUUCUAACUGGAAAGUUCGUUCUUACUUUCCUAGAUAAUUCUAAAGAGUUUUCAUGUCAUUCUUUCAUUCAAAACUAACUGAUAAACAACAAUUCACGCAGGUGUAAAAUUAAAAAAUGUCAUACUCCUUUCGAUCGUCAAUAAAGUAUGUUCAUCAUGAACGGGAAGUCCCUGGCCUGUAACAUACAAAAAAGACAAAAAAACAAGAAAAAAAAACAUGAAUAUGAGACUGUUGAGUAUAUCUAACCUUCUUUGUGUCUGCUUUUCUUUAUAUUCAUGUGGUUUCAUUCCUUGAAACUACACUCAUGAUCUUUCUAUCUUCGACCCUUUCUUCCAAAGUAAUAUAUUUCUCUCUUCCCUUCUCCCUGCUUUUCAUAUUCCACCCUUUCAUCAUAUGUAAUGAUGGUUUCUUAUUAUUAGAAUAUAUUCCUAAAAAUCCCAUAAGCAAUCAAAAUUAUUAGAUCAAAUUUCAAUGGGUUCUCAUAUCUUACAAAAAAGAUAGACAUACCUAUGUCUGUCAAAUGUGAUUCAAUAUAAGCUCAUAACACUGAGUGUUUCGUUUAUCCGGAGAGCGAAGAUGAAAUUCCACAAAUCUUCUGAUAUUUACUUGGAUUUCUUAUCGGAGUCACACAUAAUAUCUGACUUGGUAUAUUAAAUAUACUUGGAUUUGUUCAGAUCAUUAUUUGUCUAACGAAAUCGAAACCCAUAGAUCAGCAAAAAAAAGUAAUAGCAAAUUAGAGACGGGAAAAUGAUCUAACCUUUAGAUUUUAAAACUGUGUGAGAUAUAGAUUUGAACCAUAUUUGAGAUACAACUAAUCAUCUUCAAGGUUUUUGUUUCCGAUUGUUAAAAUUAGUGGGAGUAAAGAGAGAGAGGAUGAGAGAUCGUCACUGAAUCGACAUAAAGAGAGCAAGACUCAAAUGAUUUGUGCUUAGUCGAAUUUUAAACUGUAAAUAUGACAUCCAAUGAUAUAUUAUUUGAAUAAGUCUUUUUAACAUUUAUUACAUAUUAAAACAUAUCUUUAUAUAUAAAAGAAGCUUUGUUUCUCUCCUAGGUAUGCCAACAAGGACGCCAGAUAAGAAAUUCGUUGCACGACAGCUUGACACGUGUCCAAGGGGAACAAAGCUCAGCGUUUCAUUUAAUUGUGAAACACUUUCUUUGUGGGCUACGUAAUGUUUAUGUUUGGGACUGAAGUGAAAGUUAUUGGGCUCCGCAUCAGUCGGCGUCAUCCUUUCUUCCUCCUCUUGAAUCCUCGGCGGAAACUUCUCUAUUCUAAGUUCUGCUUCUAUUCAUCUUCCAAACGAAAAAAAUCUAGAAACGUUACGGAGUUAGGCUGAGUUGAAGCGUCGUCUUCAAUGCACUCACUAGCCAUUGGUCUCUACUCCUCACACGAUCUAUCUUUAAAAGCACCCACCUCCCUUUACUUUCUUUUUCAGAAUCUUCCACUAUAAAAAGGUGUGCUUUAUCCCGUGAAAUUCAUCAAUCUAAUAGUCUCAAUCUUGAGCUUCCUAAAACAAUAGCCAGGUCUAUCUUUAUCCUUUCCACAUCACAAUUAUAUGCCCGUCAAUGUUUCCUACAGCUCUAGAUCUAUCGUCGCGACCUCUCCUAUUGUUUUCUUCAACGACGUCUUUUCAGGAGUAAGCGAAGAGAAGAUGAGAAAUCAUCUCUUUCCAAAGGUCAUCAAUGUUGGUAUGAUUUCAGCUUCGAAGAACAAAGAUUUAUCAUCUUCCUUUGAUUUUUCUUUUUUUCUACUCUCAGUGAUUUCCAUACCUCCUCAUUUGUUAAGCAAAUUUAGAAUUUUCCGUAGCCCAUUAUUGGCCUUUUAUAUGCAUGAUCAAUCUGGACUAAUGGGUUUACUGGUAAGCUAUCUUACCUUCCCUUUUAUUUUCAGUGUAAAGGAACAAAGCUGAACCUGAGUUAAACAUGUAUAUGUGUGUGAAAUUUUGAUUUGAUGGUCUGGGAGGUGAUUGGGGAUAUCAGCUUUCUCAGAAGAAGACAACAUAUUCUGAAGGUGCUGAUUACAGAGUUAAGGAAGACAAAUAUAUUCUCACUCGCUUUCUCCAACGAUUGUCUUUUCUAAACCCCCAAAAUCAUGAAUUUUUGCUUCCAUCCCAGUGUGGAUGUCUAUGACAAUAUUUGUUUCGAUAUUCUUCAGGUAUAAAACAAUCAUUUUGCUUCUACUACUACUUGUGUUUAACUGGUUAAUCUCAAGCUACCAUAUAUCAAAUAAGCUAUAUAACUUUAAAGGAAACAGAAAAAAUGUUUUACAUUUUUUGUAGGAUAAAUGGUCAUCCGUUUGAUGCAGAAAUGUUCUACUUGAGGCAUGUAUGCGCAAAGUGACAGAAGAGUCAGCAAAACGUCGAGCCGUUUGGUCUGAAAAGUGGCCAGAGUAGAGAUUGUUCAUCAGUGGUUGGAUUCUAAGGAAGACACAUAUGGAAAUCAGCACAAGAGGAUUUCACAGCAGACAUGUACGUUGAAAAACUAUUGUUUCAGAGUCAUACCUCAAGGGUGUAGGAAUUGAUUGGUGGUAUGUGAGAAACGUUAUGGAUUGAGAGCGAGAGCUGUAUAUGGAGGUUUUAUUGCUGCAUUGAAGGAUCUGAGACUUUGUGUGAUUAAUGUACUUUCCUCAAACUUACGAUCUUCAUGAUGAUUCAUCUAUUCUCUGCACUGAAGAAGAGGUGCAGCUUGGUGUCUGUAAUGGCUGAAGUGGACCGAAUUCUUAUACCACAAGGAACAUUUAUAGUAAGUGAUGACAUGGAAAAGAUAGGAGAAAUUGAGAAGAUGGUGGAAUCACUGAAAUUGAAUGUAAUAAUGACACAUUCCAGAUAUGAAAAAGGAGUGAUCUCUGUUCAGAAGUCAUGGUGGAGUCCUACAGAGGUCGAGACCAUUACAUCGGCGAUAGCAAGUGAAAGAGAAUUGGUUUAAUAUAUAUAGUUUUAUGAGAAUGUUUCUUUUAUGAUCACGUUGAUUGUUUACAUUGUAUUAGGCUAAUAUGUGUAUCCUUUUUUGCAUUGACGAAGAUUGUAUACAAGACAUUGUCCCUAUAAUGUAAGCUUUUAUAAGUUUUUUAUUCGGUCCUAAACAGCCGUGGAAUAUUUACUACUGCAGCAAACUUAUAUAGACUUUCUAUUUGAACUAUAGGUAUGAUGAGCUCAUGUUAAUUACAUCACCAAAGAACUCUUAAUAGAAAAAUAAACUAGAGCAAAAAGAAUUAUUAAAUUAAAAAAAAAUUGUAACAAAUUUAAAAUUUAACUUAUUAAAUUGAAUAACAAAAUAUAGUAAAAUUGUUACUAUAAGAAAUAACUUAUAAAAUAAAGUCAAUGUAAAUUCUCAUACCGAAAAUUAAUCAAUAAAUCUUAUAUUAAAAAUUAUAAUUAGUUAUUCAGAUAACAUGGUUUUGUUUGGUGUCCAAAUAUAGUAGCAUAAACAAAAUUCAAAUAAAUAUCUAUAUUUUUAAGUAGUAACAAUUGAUAUUAGAUUUUUAUGCUAUCGAUGAAUUACCUACUUUUUUUUUAGUUACUGUAAAAGAAAAUAGGUAAUUCUUGGCGGUUAAACUCAAUCUCCAUGUUAUACUUAUUAUGUCUAUAUAUAUAUAUAUAAACAUAAUAGAUAUAGACACGUUUUCAUCGAUAAUCACAACUAUUAUAUUAGAAAAUUUAGUCACCUAACGAAACUAACUUUGUGUCUUUACAGUAAACGACUUCAACAAAAAAGUGAUAAAAAUUUAAAAAGAAAUUAUAAAAUAACAUUCCAUACAUUAAUUAAAAUAAAAUAAUUUAAACUAAAAAAAAUGUUAAGCAAAAUAUAAUAGAGAAACUUCUCGCGCGUGGAAUAUGAUGAGUCCAUGUAAAUAUUACAUAACCAUUAUAAAAAUAGGAGAUCUCCAUUAUAGAAAUGUACUAUUUGUAUUGAUAAUUGAUAGAAUUAGAGAGAUGGAGAUGCUCUUAACACGAAACAAUUUGGUUUUGGUUCGUACUCAAUUAUAUGUUCGCUUCAGUUUCAAAUGUAUUUUGUUAAGAAAUUGUACAAUCAGUGAUGUUCUUGCUUUAGUCGAUAAUGUUUGGCAAUAACAAUAUUUAACUGAUAACAUGGAGAUUCAUUAUAUCGACACAAAAUAAUGAAAAAAUAAAUAAUAUAUAUAGUAGAAAGUCUAUAAAUUAAU